rnacentral:rRNA from 1 species
CCCUUAGAUGUUCUGGGCCGCACGCGCGCUACACUGGUGCGUUCAACAAGUUUACAACCUUGAUUGACAAGUCUGGGUAAUCUUUUGAAUGCGCACCGUGCUAGGGAUAGAUUAUUGCAAUUAUUAAUCUUGAACGAGGAAUUCCUAGUAAACGCAAGUCAUCAGCUUGCAUUGAUUACGUCCCUGCCCUUUGUACACACCGCCCGUCGCACCUACCGAUUGAAUGGUCCGGUGAAUCUUUAGGACUGUGGCUGAGGCCUUGCCUUGUGCGGGUCUGGCCGUGGGAAUUUAGUUAAACCUUACCAUUUAGAGGAAGGUGAANUCGUANCA